rnacentral:tRNA from 1 species
GGGUCAGAAGCACAGCGGUUGUGCGUUCGGCUGUUAACUGAUUGGUUGCAGGUUCGAAUCCUGCCUUAUCCGCCA